UUAAGUUAAUAAGGGCGCACGGUGGAUGCCUUGGCACUAGAAGCCGAUGAAGGACGUGACUAACGACGAAAUGCUUUGGGGAGCUGUAAGUGAGCAAUGAUCCAGAGAUGUCCGAAUGGGGGAACCCGGCAGGUAAUGCCUGUCACUCAUUACUGUUAAGGUAAUGUAGAGGAAGACGCAGUGAACUGAAACAUCUAAGUAGCUGUAGGAAGAGAAAGCAAAAGCGAUUGCCUUAGUAGCGGCGAGCGAAACGGCAAGAGGGCAAACCGAAGAGUUUACUCUUCGGGGUUGUAGGACUGCAACGUGGACUUAAAGAUUAUAGAAGAACUACCUGGGAAGGUAGGCCAAAGAGAGUAAUAGCCUCGUAUUCGAAAUAGUCUUUAUACCUAGCAGUAUCCUGAGUACGGCGAGACACGAGAAAUCUCGUCGGAAUCUGGGAGGACCAUCUCCCAACCCUAAAUACUCUCUAGUGACCGAUAGUGAACCAGUACCGUGAGGGAAAGGUGAAAAGCACCCCGGGAGGGGAGUGAAAUAGAACCUGAAACCGUGUGCCUACAACAAGUUCGAGCCCGUUAAUGGGUGAGAGCGUGCCUUUUGUAGAAUGAACCGGCGAGUUACGAUAUGAUGCGAGGUUAAGUUGAAGAGACGGAGCCGUAGGGAAACCGAGUCUUAAUAGGGCGCAUUAGUAUCAUGUCGUAGACCCGAAACCAUGUGACCUACCCAUGAGCAGGUUGAAGGUGAGGUAAAACUCACUGGAGGACCGAACCAGGGCACGUUGAAAAGUGCUUGGAUGACUUGUGGGUAGCGGAGAAAUUCCAAACGAACUUGGAGAUAGCUGGUUCUCUCCGAAAUAGCUUUAGGGCUAGCGUCGAUGUUAAGUCUCUUGGAGGUAGAGCACUGUUUGGGUGAGGGGUCCAUCCCGGAUUACCAAUCUCAGAUAAACUCCGAAUGCCAAUGAGAUAUAAUCGGCAGUCAGACUGCGAGUGCUAAGAUCCGUAGUCGAAAGGGAAACAGCCCAGACCACCAGCUAAGGUCCCAAAAUAUAUGUUAAGUGGAAAAGGAUGUGGGGUUGCACAGACAACUAGGAUGUUAGCUUAGAAGCAGCUAUUCAUUCAAAGAGUGCGUAAUAGCUCACUAGUCGAGUGACCCUGCGCCGAAAAUGUACCGGGGCUAAAACAUAUUACCGAAGCUGUGGAUACCUUUAUAGGUAUGGUAGGAGAGCGUUCUAUGUGCGAAGAAGGUGUACCGUGAGGAGUGCUGGAGCGCAUAGAAGUGAGAAUGCCGGUAUGAGUAGCGAAAGACAGGUGAGAAUCCUGUCCACCGUAAGACUAAGGUUUCCAGGGGAAGGCUCGUCCGCCCUGGGUUAGUCGGGACCUAAGGAGAGACCGAAAGGUGUAUCCGAUGGACAACAGGUUGAUAUUCCUGUACUAGAGUAUAUAGUGAUGGAGGGACGCAGUAGGCUAACUAAACCAGACGAUUGGAAGUGUCUGGCCAAGCAGUGAGGUGUGAUAUGAGUCAAAUGCUUAUAUCUUUAACAUUGAGCUGUGAUGGGGAGCGAAGUUUAGUAGCGAAGUUAGUGAUGUCACACUGCCGAGAAAAGCUUCUAGCGUUAAUUAUACUCUACCCGUACCGCAAACCGACACAGGUAGUCGAGGCGAGUAGCCUCAGGUGAGCGAGAGAACUCUCGUUAAGGAACUCGGCAAAAUGGCCCCGUAACUUCGGGAGAAGGGGCGCUGACUGAUGGUCAGCCGCAGUGAAUAGGCCCAAGCAACUGUUUAUCAAAAACACAGCUCUCUGCUAAAUCGUAAGAUGAUGUAUAGGGGGUGACGCCUGCCCGGUGCUGGAAGGUUAAGAGGAGUGCUUAGCGUAAGCGAAGGUAUGAAUUGAAGCCCCAGUAAACGGCGGCCGUAACUAUAACGGUCCUAAGGUAGCGAAAUUCCUUGUCGGGUAAGUUCC
rnacentral:rRNA from 1 species